rnacentral:lncRNA from 1 species
AAGAUGCCAUAAAUCUAACUGACCACUGAAUGUCACUGUUUCUCCAUGCUUACAGAGGCAGAAGGGAAUUUGCCUGGUAGAGUAAAACAGGGUUCUUAAGGUAGAAAGUUUGGGGACCCCCUACCUGCCCAGAGCCAGAAAGAGAGAAGAUUUUUUUCUAGAUUCUCACAAUUUUAAAGUUCAGUGAAACCAAUAAAGGUAUUAACUGCAUUUUUAUUUUAUGUGUCCAGCACUCCAAAAAGUGAGGAAGUCAUGAAGGCUGAGACAACGUUCCUUCAAGGGAUGUUUCCUUCCUUUGAAGAUAUGAAAGAGAAGGGCAAAGAGGGACUCCUGAAGCCACUGAAGGAAGGAAAUCAUUACAGAGAUCUACAGAAGUAGGUCAUGUGCUACAGCUGCUCAUAGUUUGAGAGGA